UUGCCUACGGGGGUCUGCAGUCGAGAAUCUUCGUCAAUGGGGGAAACCCUGAACGAGCGACGCCGCGUGUGGGAUGAAGGCCUUUGGGUUGUAAACCACUGUCAGGGGGGAUGAAACCGCAAGGUUGACAGAGCCCCAGAGGAAGCACGGGCUAAGUUCGUGCCAGCAGCCGCGGGAAUACGAACUGUGCGAACGUUAUUCGGAAUCACUGGGCUUACAGGGUGCGUAGGUGGCCGGACAAGUCAGGUGUGAAAUCCCUCAGCUCAACUGAGGAACUGCGCUUGAAACUGUUUGGCUAGAGUGAGCUAGGGGUGCUUGGAACUGCCAGUGGAGCGGUGAAAUGUGUUGAUAUUGGCAGGAACACCGGAGCCGAAAGGGAAGCACUGGGGCUUAACUGACACUGAGGCACGAAAGCCAGGGGAGCAAACGGGAUUAGAUACCCCAGUAGUC
rnacentral:rRNA from 1 species